UGCAAGGCAUACGGCUCAGUAACACGUAGUCAACUUACCCUAUGGACGAGGAUAAUCUCGGGAAACUGAGCAUAAUACUCGAUAGAUCAUAAUGCCUGGAAUGGUUUAUGGUUGAAAUGAUUCGUCGCCAUAGGAUGGGACUGCGGCCUAUCAGCUUGUUGGUGAGGUAAUGGCCCACCAAGGCGAUUACAGGUACGGGCUCUGAGAGGAGAAGCCCGGAGAUGGGUACUGAGACAAGGACCCAGGCCCUAUGGGGCGCAGCAGGCGAGAAAACUUUGCAAUGUGCGAAAGCACGACAAGGUUAAUCCGAGUGAUUUCUGCUAAAGAAAUCUUUUGCAAGUCAUAAAACCACUAGUGAAUAAGGGGUGGGCAAGUUCUGGUGUCAGCCGCCGCGGUAAAACCA
rnacentral:rRNA from 1 species